ACCAACUACCAGUUUGACCUCUCCUUUGACCCCCAGCACGGCAGUGAAUCCUUCAUCAGGAGGUCAACGCUCCACAGAAAGCGUUCUGGGAGAAAGAUUUACGUCAUUUCACGGACCAGGCCCAAAGCCCCGUCAUUCACAUGAAGAGUAGACGACCGAUACAGGGGCCACAGAUCCUGAUGCUUGGUGAGAAUUCGUCUGCAAGUGGAUAAUCCUGCUUUACCAUCCGUAUCUUAUGUUUCACCGAGUCAUGGCUGAACGAGGACAUGGAUCAUAUACAGUUGGCUGGGUUUUCUGUGCAUCGGCAAGACAGAACAAUAAACCUCCAGUAAGAUGGUGGUCUGUGUCUAUUUGUCAAUAACAACUGGUGCGCAAUCUCUAAUAUUAAGGAAGUCUAGAGGUUUUGCUCGCCUGAGGUAGAUUAUGUCAUGACAAGCUGUAGACCACACUAUUUACCAAGAGAGAUCAUCUAUAUUUUUCGUAGCUGUCUAUUUACCACCACUAACCGAUGCAGGCAUUAAGCAAACAAGAGAAUGCUAAUCCAGAAACGGUGCUCCUAGUGGCUGGGGACUUUUCCCAUUUCUACCAGCAUGUCAAAUGUGCAACCAGAGGAAAGAAAUCUCUAGACCACCUUUAUUCCACACACAGAGAUGUGAACAAAUCACUCCCUCGCCCUUCAUUUGGCAAAUCUGACCAUUAUUCUAUCCUCCUGAUUCCUGCUAACAAGCAAAAAAAAAAAACUCAAUCAGGAUUUACCAGUGACUCGCUCCAUACGGAAGUGGUCAGAUGACACGCAUGCUAAGCUACAGGACUGUUUUUCUAGCACAGACUGGAAUAUGUUUUGGGAUUCAUCUGAUGGCAUUGUGAAGUAUACCACAUCAAUCAAUUCAAUUCAAUUCAAUUCAAGGGCUUUAUUGGCAUGGGAAACAUGUGUUAACAUUGCCAAAGCAAGUGAGGUAGACAACAUACAAAGUGAAUAUAUAUAAAGUGAAAAACAACAAAAAUUAACAGUAAACAUUACACAUACAGAAGUUUCAAAACAGUAAAGACAUUACAAAUGUCAUAUUAUAUAUAUAUACAAUGUACAAAUAGUUAAAGGACACAAGAUAAAAUGAAUAAGCAUAAAUAUGGGUUGUAUUUACAAUGGUGUUUGUUCUUCACUGGUUGCCCUUUUCUUGUGGCAACAGGUCACAACAGGUGACAGGUCAAUCACCGACUUCAACUGAUUGUACAUAUGCCAACCAGAAGCCAUGGAUUACAGGCAACAUCCGCACUGAGCAAAAAGCUAGAGCUGCCGCUUUCAAGGAGCGGGACACUAAUCCGGAUGCUUAUAAGAAAUCCCGCUAUGCCCUCCGACGAACCACCAAACAGGCAAAGCAUUAAUACAGGGCUAAGAUUGAAUCCAACUACACUGGCUCUGAUGCUCGUCGGAUAAAGCAGGCUUGCAAACAAUUCUUCUACGGAUUACAAAGGGAAAUCCAACUGUGAGCUGCCCAGUGACGAAGGCCUACCAAACGAGCUAAAUCCCUUCUAUGCUUUCUUCAAGGCAAGCAACACUGAACCAUGCAUGAGAUUGCCAGCUGUUUCGGACAACUGUGAGAUCACGCUCUCCAUAGCUGAUGUGAGUAAGACCUUUAAACAGGUCAACAUUCACAAGGCUGCAGGGCCAGACGGAUUUCCAGGACGCAUACUGAGAACAUGCACUGACCAACUGGCAAGUGUCUUCACUGACAUUUUCAACCUCUCCCUGACCGAGUCUGUAAUAACAACAUGUUCAAGCAGACCACCAUAGUCCCUGUGCCCAAGAAUGCCAAGGUAAUCUGCGAAAUCACAAUGGUGACAAUGAUGAGACAGCCUAUAGGGAGGAGGUCAGAGACCUGUCAGUGUGAUGCCAAGACAACAAGCGCUUCCUCAGCACCCCCCCCUCCAUUCACAUCGACAGGGCUGUAGUGGAGCGGGUUCGAGAGCUUCAACUUUCUUGGUGUCCACAUCACUAACAAACUAUCAUGGUCCAAACACAGCAAGACAGUCGUGAAGAAGGCAUGUCAAUGCCUGUCCCCUCUCAGGAGACCAAAAAGAUUUGGCAUGGGUCCUCAGAUCCUCAAAAAGUUAUACAGCUGCACCAUAGAGAGCAUCCUGACUGAUUGAUCACCGCUUGGUUUGGCAACUUCUCGGCAUCCGACCGCAGAGGUUAGAGCGUACGGCCCAGUACAUCACUUGGGACAAGAUUCCUGCCAUCCAGGACAUCUAUACCAGGCGGGGUCAGAGGAAGGCCCUUAAAAUUGUCAAAGACUCCAGCCACCCAAAUCAUGAACUGUUCUCUCUGCUACUGCAUGGCAAGUGGUACUGGAUUGCCAAGUCCAGGUCCAAAAGGCUCCUUAACAGCUUCUACCCCCAAGCUAUAAGACUGCUGAAGAGUUAAUGAAAUGGCUAACCAGACUAUUUGCAUUGACCUCCUUUUUUAUUCUGCUGCUACUCUUUGUUUAUUACCUAUAAAUAGUCACUUUACACCUUCCUACAUAUACAUAUUACCUGAAUGUCCUCCUUUAUAUUGCCUCGCUAUUGUUAUUUUAUUGUGUUGCUUUUUAAAACGUUUUGGGAUUUUUAAUUAUUGAGUUAUUUAUUUAAAAAUUUAACAAAGGUAGCACAUAUUUUCUUACAUUAAAAAAAAUGCAUUGUUGAUAGUAAGUGUUUCAUGGUAAGGUUGUAUUGUAACACCUGUUGUAUUCGACGCAUGUGCAUAACGAUGGUCAUUAUUGCCAAACAGUUCAAUUUUUCUUUCAUCAGACAAGAGGAUAUUUCUCCAAAAGUAUGAUCUUUGUCCCCAUGUGCAGUUGCAAACCAUAGUCUGGCUUUUUUAUGACGUUAUUGGAGCAAUGGCUUCUUCCUUGCUGAGCUGAUAUGUCGAUAUAGGACUCAUUUUACUGUGGAUAUAGAUACAAAUCAUUUGCAAACAUUUUCCUUCUCAUAUUAAUGUAAGUGCCUUUGACAUGGGUUAAUCUUUCAACUCCUUUUGGUGAUAUUGUGUAGUGUAGGCUAUAUUCAAUAUCAUUAAUUUAGCCUAAUUUG